rnacentral:rRNA from 1 species
UACGUAGGGUGCAAGCGUUGUCCGGAAUUAUUGGGCGUAAAGAGCUCGUAGGCGGUCUGUCGCGUCGGCUGUGAAAACUCGGGGCUCAACCCCGAGCCUGCAGUCGAUACGGGCAGACUAGAGUGCUGUAGGGGAGACUGGAAUUCCCGGUGUAGUGGUGGAAUGCGUAGAUAUCGGGAGGAACACCAGUGGCGAAGGCGGUUGCCUGGGGCUUUGCUGACGCUGAUGCGCGAAAGCGUGGGGAGCGAUCCGG